rnacentral:lncRNA from 1 species
CAGCUGUGGAGACCCCACACUACCUUGUUCAAAAUCUCCUUAACCCAGCUUGAGGAACUGGGGAUGGAUUGGGGUGAGGGUCCAUGAUCAGCAUUCCCUGAUCUUUAGCACCUGAAACUACCAUCAAAGGGAGAUCCUGGGACCAGUCACCCCAGUCUUCAGCAGGUUCUGUCCAGCAACUGCCUGGCAAGAAUUUGGGUGUCCCUGGAAGCACCUAGCAUGGCAGUGUGAAGUGAGAAAGCCAGUCAGCCUCUGCAUUUGAUUGAUGUCUUUCUUAUCUGAGCAAGAGCUGGGAGGACAACCUUAUUCUCUGCCCAAGAUUCCAAGCCAUGAAAUUUCAACCAUUUAGUCAACCUGAAAUCACCUGGUAACUGAUUCUAACACUCAGCACCGGAUGCUGCUGACGCCACCUACAAGUCACUUGUCUCCCCUCCUUAGUCUGGACCCCACUGGGCAGAGCCAGCUCUAUACCCCUAAUCAGCCUGAAGCAGCUCCAGAAGAUGAGCUUCUUCCCUUUGUCCCAAAUUAAUCUGGGUCUGGACUGCUUGAGGUGGGAAUGAUGGGAUAAUAGCCCUGAGACCACAGGCCUUGACAGUACUAUAGUUCCACAGAUAACUGGCUGCCAGAUACCAAUUUAUGGGUCUAUCAUGAUAGGGUUUCCAAAACAGAUAGUGGGAAUUGGUGGAAGCAGAAUCUCUGGUUCCUGCUCAUUGUUUUUAGCAGUAUUAUCCUUUUACUGCUUGCUUGCCUUGCAUGAUGCAUUUAAUCACUAGAACAGUUCAAUAGUUCCUUAGCUAAAAUGGUCUCAGUAAAAGCUUCCACUCAUGUGUUGGCUCUGGUAGAGGGUGGGUUACAAUUGAUACUGAAGAGAAGGACAAGCCUGAAGGCCUAAAUAUCAUGGAUGUCUUAGUGGAAGAAAUGUAUCACGUUUGAUGUGAGAAAUCUUCAAAGGUAUGAAAUAAAGAGGAGGGACCAAAUGGGACAAGUUGAGAUUUCUCAGAGACUGUAGGGUAAAGUAGAUCAGACUCUAGGCCUAAGUUUUAGGUUUUGCUCAUGUAAAAAAAAAAGUAGACAUGUUGUACAUUGGCCAACAAUCCCCUCCCGUGUUCCUGAAGAAUUCAGUUCAAUCAUUGAAUUUAAAAGUCAACAGGAUAAGGGAGGACUUGCAGUUUUCAGUUAUAUAACCCAGCUUCUGCCUAUGUAUUGGACGACAUCCUAUUAGACUGCUAGUGAAGGUGCUGGCCCACUUGCAAGAAUUGAAUAAAGUCUUUUUGUUUGUAUCUGGAGAUG